UGGGGAAUUUUGGACAAUGGGGGAAACCCUGAUCCAGCCAUCCCGCGUGUGCGAUGAAGGCCUUCGGGUUGUAAAGCACUUUUGGCAGGAAAGAAACGUCAUGGGUUAAUACCCCGUGAAACUGACGGUACCUGCAGAAUAAGCACCGGCUAACUACGUGCCAGCAGCCGCGGUAAUACGUAGGGUGCAAGCGUUAAUCGGAAUUACUGGCGUAAAGCGUGCGCAGGCGGUUCGGAAAGAAAGAUGUGAAAUCCCAGAGCUCAACUUUGGAACUGCAUUUUUAACUACCGGGCUAGAGUGUGUCAGAGGGAGGUGGAAUUCCGCGUGUAGCAGUGAAAUGCGUAGAUAUGCGGAGGAACACCGAUGGCGAAGGCAGCCUCCUGGGAUAACACUGACGCUCAUGCACGAAAGCGUGGGGAGCAAACAGG
rnacentral:rRNA from 1 species